rnacentral:lncRNA from 1 species
GGGCUAUGAGUUAUUCUUUCACAAUCUCCAACAUCUAAUCUUUCUAAAGUAUAAUUCAUCGAUCACCUAAACAAAAAUUUUGGAAUUUCCUCCAAUGGCUAUAGGAUUGGGUUCCGUAUUCCUCUUUGGUAGGGUGUGUUGAUUGCAUGAUUCUAAUGGGUCCUAUCACCUCAAAGUUGCCAUUUUGCUUAGCCUAAUACUCCAUGACCUCUGCCUCAAGGAUCUAGACCCUUCGAUUUGGUCUUGGCCAUCAAACUCAAGGGAC